GUGCCAGCCGCGGCGGUAAUACGGAGGGAGCUAGCGUUGUUCGGAAUUACUGGGCGUAAAGCGCACGUAGGCGGCUUUUCAAGUCAGGGGUGAAAUCCCGGGGCUCAACCCGGAACUGCCCUUGAAACUGGAUGGCUAGAAUCUUGGAGAGGCGAGUGGAAUUCCGAGUGUAGAGGUGAAAUUCGUAGAUAUUCGGAAGAACACCAGUGGCGAAGGCGACUCGCUGGACAAGUAUUGACGCUGAGGUGCGAAAGCGUGGGAGCAAACAGGAUUAGAUACCCUGGUAGUCCACGCCGUAAAACGAUGAUAACUAGCUGUCCGGGCACAUGGUGCUUGGGUGGCGCA
rnacentral:rRNA from 1 species